GUGAGAGAAUGGGUGGCACUGUCCAAAAAUAAACAUACUCUUUACCUGACAUGUAACUGUAACCCUUUUGUAUACCAUCUUUAUAAUAACCAUUAAAUUUUUUAAUCAUACCAUAAAAAUGUGACUAUAAAUUGUAAUAACCUGGGCUAGGAAUAUGGCCUAUGGUAAAGUGCCCACCCUGGGUUUGAUUCCUCAGCCCCAAAUAUAUAGAAAA